rnacentral:lncRNA from 1 species
CACCAAAAGAAGAGACAGGGUUCACAUACACACACACAUACACAUACUCACAUACACACACAUACAGACUCACAUACACACACAGACUCACAUACACACACACAUACACAUACAUACACACACAUACAGACUCACAUACACACACACACAGACUCACAUACACAGACACACACAGACUUACAUACACACAGACACACACACACAUACAGACUCACAUAUACACAGACUCACAUACACAGAGACUCACAUACACACAGACACACACACACUCAAAUACACAGACUCACAUACUCACAGACACACACAGACUCAAAUACACACACAGACUCACAUACACACACACUCAUACACACACAUACAGACUCACAUAUACACAGACUCACAUACACAGAGACUCACAUACACACAGACACACACAGACUCAAAUACACACACAGACUCACAUACACACACACUCAUACACACACAUACAGACUCACAUACACAUAGACACACACAGAUUCACAUACACACACAGACACACACACAGACACACACAGACACACACAGACUCACACACACACACAGACUCAUGUACACACAGACUCAUGCACAUAUACAUAUACAUAGGUACAUACACACACUCACAAAUGUAAAUACAUGUACACACACAUAUACAGACUCACAUACACACAUACACACAUGUACGUAUACAUACAAACACAAACAUACACACACGUGCAUACACAGACACACACAGCGACUCACGUACACACACGUACGUACACACACGCACAUACACACAUCACAUAUACAAUACAUACACAGACUCACAAACACACACACAGACUCACAUGCAUAUACACAUACAUACACAUGCACAUACAUACACAAUGUACACACAGACUCGCAUACAUAUACACGUACAUACACACAGAUACGCAGACACAUAUACAACCAUGCUCCACAUAACAUCGUUUCAGUCAGUGAUGGGCUGCGUAUAUGACAGUGGUCCUGUCAGAUUCCAAAUAGCUGAAAAAUGGCUGUUGCCCAGUGAUGUCCCAGCCAUCGUAACACUGUGGCACAGUGCGUUACCUUUUCUAUGUGUGGAUUUGUUUAGUUGCACACAUACUUAUCACCGUGUUACAGUCGCCCACAGGACUCAGUACAGUAACACGCGGUACAGGUUUGCAGCCUAGGAGCAAAGGCUACGGUGUAGAGCCGAGGGGUGCUGGAGGCCAUUCCAUCUGGGUUUGUGUAAGGACAGUCUGUGACGGUCCCCUAAUGAGGAAAUGGUCUAAUGAUGCAUUUCUCAGAAUGUGUCUUGUCAGUGAGUGACGCAUGACUGUACAUAGGUACAUGGACACACACACUCACACAUGCACACUGCUGCAGUUUGCACGGGUGCCCCUAGGUUCACAUGUCAGAAACUCGAUCACCAGUGUGACAGUGUUGGGAUGAGGGGCCACUGGGAGGUGUUUGAGUCAUGCGGGCACCACCCUCAUGAAUGGAUUAAUACGUUAUCUCAGGAAUGGUUCUUUUUCCCCCAAAGCAACAAAAGGUAAAAGCAGGGAAUGGUUCAUCAUCCUGGGAGUGGGUUCCUUGGGAAAGGACAAGUUUGGCACACUCUCUGUCUCUGUCUGUCUCUCUAUCUGUCUCGCCUUCACCACAUGGGGCCCCUCCAUCUUGGACUUCCCAGCCUCCAGAAUUUGUUGAGCCAAUUAAUUCCUAGUCAUUAGGAAUUAGCCAGUUUGUGGUGUUCUGCACAUGUGGUUAUAGCAACAGAAAGUAGACUGAGACACACACACACACACACACACACACACACACACACAUUCCUGCAUGUACACAUGAAUGCCUGCGUACAUGUAGACACACAGACACGCAGGCAUGCAUAACAUGUGCCUACACACAGAUCCACACACACUCACUUAAUUCUCGCAACCUUGCCUUAAGGCAGAGGGUGUCCGCAAUCUCCCCUUGACAGAGGAGGAAACUGAGGCUUAGGAAAGACACGUAACUUGCUGAGGGGCUAGUGUGAUACAGGGGCCUGGCGGCUGGGCCAUCCUGUUACCUGGGCUGUAUUCUGGAGGGCCUGCUCUGGGUUGGGCUGUGGCAGCCUCUCUGUGAUCUCCCGAGUUAGGGUUCUGGGAGCUCCCCAAAACCCUUCCAUAGCUUUGUUCUGGAGAGGAUGGUUGAGGUGGGGGAUUCAGACUCCUGGACCUCAACCCUGCACCCCCACCAGGCCACUAAGAGGGGCACCCGUGGGGGUGAGUGGAGGACCCUGACCCCAGGCCACUGGUACCGCCUGGAUGCCUGCAGUACACAGGGGAUCCGAUGUCCUUCAGCCCCCAGGCUGGCCCCGAUGUGAAGUCUGAUGGGUGUUGGGCCCCCGUGCUGCCCCCUUCCCCCACAGGUAGCUCAUUUGCUGAGUUUCCAAGCAGAAUAGUUUGUAAAAUGUGCAAUGCAUUUGGGAGGGGAUGAGCCUCUCAUGGACAGUAGGGCAGGUACCAGGAGAGUGGUGGCCCCAGCCCUCCCAGUCCCCUGGGAGCCCCACCCAGGCACACCAGGUUCAGAUGGUCAGUGCCUGUUCCCCCAGGAACUCUUGGUGGCUGAAGAUGCCUGUGGACUCCCAUUAUGUAAAACACCGAGGAUUCCCAAAACCCAGUGAUGCUAUAAUGUCAUUGAAAUAGUGAGCACAUAGAUGAUGUGGCAUUUCCCGACUGGCCCUUGGGGUCAAGUGGUAGUCCGAAGGGCAGCUCUCACCGGGUGGUCAGACAGCACGCUGGACACCCAGGGGCCCCUCGAUGCUGUGACACGCCAGGGAGGCACCCGGGUCCCUGAUGUUCCAGUGCAGGACAAGUGACAGCCCACCUGGCCCACUCCUCCCCCCAGGUUCAUGCCCCACCCCCACUCCAUCUCAGCAGAGUGUCCCGAGGCCUCCCUGGGUUGUGGUGCCGGGCGAGUUCCCCUCUCUGUCCAGGACUCCCACGCUGGUGCCCUGGGAAGCUGGGGGGCUGUAGGAGAAGGACAGACUCAGAGCCUGGGGCUGGCUUAUAAACACAAGAGCUUUUCCCACGUCAGCCCUUGGCGUCAACUUGUGAGGGCGUCCCCAUGCAGGCGUGAUAGGCAGAGGCUGUGCUGAGGGCCGGGGCAGCAGAGGAGGUGGGCAGGGCCCAGAGGCACUGGGUGGGUGCCUCGCACACCAGGGCUAGGGAACCAUUUGUUCUAAGCUCUGGAUUACAGAUGGGGAAACUGAGGCCCAGAGAGGGGCAGGGACAUGGCUGAGGUCUCGGGGGACCCCUGAGCAGCCAGGCCUCCGCUGCCUCCCUUGGGCGGGUGUGAGGGGCACCUGCGGUUUGGUGUUAGGCUCCCACCUACAGGGGCAAAGCCCAGGCUCAGAGGUGACCUGGAAUCAGCGAAUCAGGGGCCGAGCUGGACUAGGCAGGAGGGUGUGUGGUUGCAGCAGGUGAGCUCAUCUGUAAAACGGGGGUGCGACACCCCUGGCCCUGCCAGCCUGUCCAGGUCUGCGCGGCACUUGGCGCUCCCAGCACCACACCCUCCAGGAGAGGCCCAGCUGGGAGUCAUCUGGAAGAAGUCCCUCCUGGCCCAGGUGGGCAAAGAGAGGACCAGGAGGGAAUGACGUCGAGCACCUCUUCCUCAUUGGAGCCCUCCUGGGUGACCCCGUCCUGUGCCCAACACGUGACUGUUCUCCCUGGGGCUGGCCACGUGGGGGUAGGAUCUGAGCACCCCUGCAGCUGAGCCACGAGAGCACAGGACUCCCCAGGGCUCUGCAGGGGGCCUGGCCUCAGCUCCAGCUGAGUUCUGGAGAGGUGCUGCAGGGGAGAGUUAGGUAGACACACCUGGAGGCCCAGAACUAGCCGAGGGAUGGUGAAGGGGUCAUCCGUGCUGAGUCCUUGAGGGCUCAGUGAGGCCGAGGAAAGGUGGGGCAGGGUCCAGUCUGGAGGGUGAGGCUGGGCCUUGUGGCCUGUCCUGGGGUGGGGGUGGGGAGGAAUCAGUUUCAAGAGGCAGCCCCAGGAAGAGUAGGGGCAGAGGAGGGGGUGGGACUUGACAAGCGGAAGGCCCUGGCUGGGGCUGGGCACAGGCUGCUGGGCCAGUGGGGCGGGGGCCAGGAGUCAUGGAGCAGGUGGUCCGAGGAGAUGGGGUGAGGGACCAUCCAGGGGGAGGGAAUGGCAGGGGACAGGACUGGGAGCAGGAGAGUGUGGUCUCAUGGGCGGAGCCACUUCCCC